GGAUCAGAAUUUUUGGCCAAACUCAAUUACUCCAUGCACAAAUUGAAAGAGGAACAAAAUGAUCCCUUCUCUUUAAUUCUUUUGAAUCAAACUAGACUAUCAUCCUAUUCUCCUUCACUCCAUGCGCAACGUCAUCCUCAACACAAGACUGAAUACUCCCUUCCAAUUCAGAAUGAAACACUAACCACUCUCUCCCCCUCUCAAGACCGUAGACCAGCUAGAGAAGAACCCAAAGCUUGCAUGUUAAUUUUCCUCCUCCCUAUUCCUCACAAAUCGUGAGCUACAUAAGAAGACAACGACCAUCCAAUUUUUCAUUUUUUCCUUUCAUGGUUCGGCUGAUUAUCAUUGAGCAAGAGGUGUAGGAUUUUUCUAGUUUCAUGUCCCUCCUUCAUUCCCUCUGAUUUGAUGAGGAUACUCACUUGCUUGCAGAGUGGAACGCAAGCCUACAUCCACUCUCUUCUUCCCUUUGUUCAGCCAAAGGCCCUCCUUCAAGGAAUGAGCUCCUUCCCCUUUUGCAUGCUGUCUUAAACUCGAGUUAUGGAGCAUAGGAAGGAGGAUGGGCUGCUUCUUGAUCGAUUUGUGGUCUUGGGGGUCGAUGCAAGAAAAUGUGUGCUAACCUCUAAAAGAGUGGUCUGAUUGUUGAUGUUUUGAUUAAAAAGGGUUAAAGACUCGAGGAGGACGUAAAAGCAUUUGAUGAAGUAGUAUUUUGGAUAUCUGCUGUUGAGUGCUGCUGUUUUAAAAUCAUGUUGUUUGCCAUUGUUUAUUUGGCUGUGUGCUGAAUCUUGACGUUAUGUACUAUUUUGGGGAUUGACCAAGUGAAUGUAGUAUUUUAUUUUGGGAACACACAGUAGCUUGAUUAUUGUAUUUGCUAAGACUUAUGUAAUUCUGUUAUCUUAUUUUGACAAACAAUUUCUGCUGUUUAAAUUCGGAUUUUGAGAUUAAGUUUU